rnacentral:rRNA from 1 species
AGAACGUAGCAAAUGUGAUACUUGGUGUGAAUUGCAGAAUCCCGUGAACCAUCGAGUCUUUGAACGA